ACCCUGUAACUCAGCCAUCAGAGUUUUAUGUAGAACUUUGAAAGGCACUUACAGGAAGC
rnacentral:pre_miRNA from 1 species